GCCAUGCAAGUCGAACGAGUUUAGGCUCGUGGCGUACGGCUCAGUAACACGUGGAUAACCUACCCUUAGGACUGGGAUAACCCUGGGAAACUGGGGAUAAUACCGGAUAGGCAAUUUUUCCUGUAAUGGUUUUUUGUUUAAAUGUUUUUUCGCCUAAGGAUGGGUCUGCGGCCGAUUAGGUAGUUGGUUAGGUAAUGGCUUACCAAGCCGUUGAUCGGUACGGGUUGUGAGAGCAAGAGCCCGGAGAUGGAACCUGAGACAAGGUUCCAGGCCCUACGGGGUGCAGCAGGCGCGAAACCUCCGCAAUGUGAGAAAUCGCGACGGGGGGAUCCCAAGUGCCAUUCUUAACGGGAUGGCUUUUCAUUAGUGUAAAGAGCUUUUGGAAUAAGGGCUGGGCAAGACCGGUGCCAGCCGCCGCGGUAACACCGGCAGCUCUAGUGGUAGCAGUUUUUAUUGGGCCUAAAGCGUCCGUAGCCGGUUUAAUAAGUCUCUGGUGAAAUCCUGUAGCUUAACUGUGGGAAUUGCUGGAGAUACUAUUAGACUUGAGACCGGGAGAGGUUAGAGGUACUCCCAGGGUAGAGGUGAAAUUCUGUAAUCCUGGGAGGACCGCCUGUUGCGAAGGCGUCUAACUGGAACGGUUCUGACGGUGAGGGACGAAAGUUAGGGGCGCGAACCGGAUUAGAUACCCGGGUAGUCCUAACUGUAAACGAUGCGGACUUGGUGUUGGGGUGGCUUUGAGCUGCUCCAGUGCCGAAGGGAAGCUGUUAAGUCCGCCGCCUGGGAAGUACGGUCGCAAGACUGAAACUUAAAGGAAUUGGCGGGGGAGCACCACAACGCGUGGAGCCUGCGGUUUAAUUGGAUUCAACGCCGGACAUCUCACCAGAGGCGACAGCUGUAUGAUAGCCAGGUUGAUGACUUUGCUUGACUAGCUGAGAGGUGGUGCAUGGGCCA
rnacentral:rRNA from 1 species